rnacentral:rRNA from 1 species
UACGUAAGAGACUAGUGUUAAUCAUCAUAAAUAGGUUUAAAGGGUACUCAGACGGAAAAUAUUCGCCUAAAAAGGGGACAAUUUUUCUAGAGUUUUAUGUAAGAAGAUCGUACUCUAGAGUGUAGAGAUCAUAUUUGUUGAUACCUAGGGGACUGGUAAAGGCGAAGGCAAUCUUUUAUGUAAAAACUGACGUCGAAGGACGAAGGCAAAGGGCACGAACAGG